GAUGAACGCUGGCGGCGUGCUUAACACAUGCAAGUCGAACGGAAAGGCCCAAGCUUGCUUGGGUACUCGAGUGGCGAACGGGUGAGUAACACGUGGGUGAUCUGCCCUGCACUUCGGGAUAAGCCUGGGAAACUGGGUCUAAUACCGGAUAGGACGAUGGUUUGGAUGCCAUUUGGAAAGUUUUUUCGGUGUGGGAUGAGCUCGCGGCCUAUCAGCUUGUUGGUGGGGUAAUGGCCUACCAAGGCGUCGACGGGUAGCCGGCCUGAGAGGGUGUACGGCCACACUGGGACUGAGAUACGGCCCAGACUCCUACGGGAGGCAGCAGUGGGGAAUAUUGCACAAUGGGCGCAAGCCUGAUGCAGCGACGCCGCGUGGGGGAUGACGGCCUUCGGGUUGUAAACUCCUUUCGCUAGGGACGAAGCGUUUUUGUGACGGUACCUGGAGAAGAAGCACCGGCUAACUACGUG
rnacentral:rRNA from 1 species